GUAAAAAAAAAAAAUUGAAAUUGCUAAAACCCUAAUAAUAAUAAAAAUCCUCUUUUUUAUUUUAAGAAGACUAUAAAUUGCUUUCGUCUUCGCUCUCUCACAAUCUUCUUCUUCGAUUCACCUUGGCGGCGCACUCAGAGAGAUUCAAACAACUCAGAAAAUGGUGGCGACUGGCUUGUUCGUGGGGCUGAACAAAGGACACAUUGUUA